CUGGAAGCUGCACUGGGUGAGUCAGCGAGUGAAUGGUGAGUGAAUGUGAAGGCCUAGGACAGCAGGGACUGGUUUGGCACCAGGGACUAUUUUCAUGAAAGACAGUUUUUCCAUGGACUUGCGGGCGGACAGAUGGUUUGGGGAUGAAACUGUUCCACCUCAGAUCAUCAGGCAUUAGAUUCUCAUAAGGAGCUCGCAACAACCUAGAUUCCUCACAUGCACAGUUCACAAUAGGGUUCGCACUCCUAUGAG
rnacentral:lncRNA from 10 species